GUUUGUCUAGCUCAAUUGGUAAAGCGCAAGGCUCUUAACCCUGUGGUCGUUGGUUCGAGCCCCACAGUGGGCG
rfam:Capsicum annuum cultivar Zunla-1 chromosome 1, whole genome shotgun sequence